UGGUGGAGUGAUUUGUCUGGUUAAUUCCGUUAACGAACGAGACCUCGACCUGCUAAAUAGUUCGGCGAAAGAUUCGUCUUUCAUACGUGACUUCUUAGAGGGACUAUCGGUGUGUAGCCGAUGGAAGUUCGAGGCAAUAACA
rnacentral:rRNA from 1 species